UGAUAAUAAAUAAAAAAAAUCAAAACAAAUAAUCAUAAAACAUAUUUAUUUUUAUAUGUAAUAACCAUUACGUUAUUUUAAAUAUAAUUAAUUACGUUAUAAAAUUGUCAUUUCAUUACGUCAAAUCUUUUAUGUUACCAAACAAUAUAAUCAAAUAUGCAAUACAAUCAUGAUUACAUUACAACUUUGAUUAUACCAUACCAAACAUGACCUACGAAAAAAGAGCACAAAUAACAGCCUAUGAUAGCCCAAGAAAAUAAAAAUAACAAAUUCAAUUAAUCAAAGUUUUGUAUCUGAAUAAAGAAAUGUUACAUUAUCCAUUCAAAUUUUAAUACCAUAUUUGCCUUCACUAUAUUUUUAAGAUAAAAGGUAUGUUGCCCGUUGGAUUUGGGGUGAUAGCUCCCAUUACAUCUGGGUCACCCAGUUCCCUCUAAAAUUAUGAUGUACCAAAAGUGAGAAUAUUUUGAUCAACUUACAUGUUAAAACAAGUUUAUGCAGAAUGUACCGGCGAAGCAGCUACAUUUUCAGUCUUCUGUAAACAGAUUAUGCAUUAACUUCAUUUAAUCUUCUUCAUUAUCAUCAGGCUGAACUGACUGUUCAAAGUCAGCAUCCAUAAUUACCCCAUCCAUGAUGUGUACAACGAUCUCGCCUCUUCUAACAUCUACUCUUUCCGAUCGAAUUCUAUUAACCACCAGCAUUCCAGCUGCAUCCUUCGAAAUGUAUAAUGUAAACCCAGAUAAUGAAUCAUAAAUGACCUCUUUACUAGAGGAUACCGUAUCUGAAGAGAGAGUUCGAGGCAUAGCUGAGAAACCCAAUAUUCGAGAAACCACUGCAUAUGUAUCAUUCCUCUUCUCUGCUAGCAAACUAUCAUUCACCCGUAGCCUCAAAUCACGCUCGAAAGAUUUCUCCGAAGGGAUAAAGACUGUAAAAGCAAGUUCUUCUGGCAACAUUUUAAUCAUCAUCUCACCAAACUUUCCUAUCCCUUCAUCCUUGAAAACCUUCCUGCUAUUAACGGUCUUGUAAGGUUUCAUCACUUUAUUUCCUAUUGAUACCUCAGGGACAGGAAGUCUAAGAAAUGAAAUCAUGAUUACCAACAAGCAGCAAACAAACACCAUCACACAAACAAAGGCAAUUGGGUUCUUCAAAAAGUAGCCUCCCUCAUUUUCUUUAUCAAUUAUAUCACUGGUGAUUAAUCAAUAGCCCUAAAAUCUCAGUAUCUCAACAUAACAUUUCUCCCAAGCAAUCUAAGGACAAAAAUAGUAUCAGAAACUUGCUACCAUUAACCAUUCAUAACAAUUGACAAGAAAAAUCUUCAUGCCAAAACUUCAAAAAAUUCCCUUUCAAACCUUAUCAAGCAGUUUUCUUAGCAUUCAACAUUGCAACCCUAAAGACAAUGGUAGCAAUUAGCCACUAUUCGUUGCAUAAACUCAGAAUUUGAGCCACUAAUCCCUGAGUUCUAGUGUAAUCAGAGAAUCUCUAAGUCGAUACUGGACAGACAUCUAUAUAUAUAAUGCAGCUCAAAUGAGUUACAAACUGUUGAGACAAGAAUAAUAAUCCAAGUUCAACCACUCCUUGCCAAAUCUGACCAAUUUUACCAAUCUGAAAGCCGAGAAUCACACCCAUUAAUGCUUGAAUAUCAAAAACACAGCCAAUCACACCAAACUGAAAAUUCAGGUCUAGUGAAAUAAACUUAAGGUUGAUAUGUGGUCAUCAUCAGAAAAGGGUACUUUAACCAAAAUAUAAAUGAGAAGCAAUAAACAAUUGUUGGGGUGGGGAGCAAAGAGUAUGAUAUAUAGCAUUCUCAGAGGGGAUCUGAUCCCAGAUCAAUAUUUGUGAAACUAAUAUAAAAUCUAGAUGUGAUUUCAAGAAAUUUUGAAUAACACCCUUUGGAAUUGGCUAGGGAAAAUUUACCCGGAAAGAAGCAACAGGAAGCUUGUAAAGGGCAGAACUCAAGUGUAAAAAUUCAAUUUCCCAGCUUGUCAGAUGGGCCUGAGUACUCUUGCUUACAUGUUGAAUCUUGUCAACUUAAAAUAGGAUUAAUAGUGUGAAAUUUUUCAAUCUUUGAACUUUGAAAUUAGGGUUAGGGUUUCAAUGCAACAGAUCUGGAAAGA
rnacentral:misc_RNA from 1 species